GACGGAGCACGCCGCGUGAGUGAUGAAGGUUUUCGGAUCGUAAAGCUCUGUUGUUAGGGAAGAACAAGUACCGUUCGAAUAGGGCGGUACCUUGACGGUACCUAACCAGAAAGCCACGGCUAACUACGUGCCAGCAGCCGCGGUAAUACGUAGGUGGCAAGCGUUGUCCGGAAUUAUUGGGCGUAAAGGGCUCGCAGGCGGUUUCUUAAGUCUGAUGUGAAAGCCCCCGGCUCAACCGGGGAGGGUCAUUGGAAACUGGGGAACUUGAGUGCAGAAGAGGAGAGUGGAAUUCCACGUGUAGCGGUGAAAUGCGUAGAGAUGUGGAGGAACACCAGUGGCGAAGGCGACUCUCUGGUCUGUAACUGACGCUGAGGAGCGAAAGCGUGGGGAGCGAACAGGAUUAGAUACCCUGGUAGUCCACGCCGUAAACGAUGAGUGCUAAGUGUUAGGGGGUUUCCGCCCCUUAGUGCUGCAGCUAACGCAUUAAGCACUCCGCCUGGGGAGUACGGUCGCAAGACUGAAACUCAAAUGAAU
rnacentral:rRNA from 1 species